CAGCAGCCGCGGUAAUACGGAGGGUGCAAGCGUUAAUCGGAAUUACUGGGCGUAAAGCGCACGCAGGCGGUUUGUUAAGUCAGAUGUGAAAUCCCCGAGCUUAACUUGGGAACUGCAUUUGAAACUGGCAAGCUAGAGUCUUGUAGAGGGGGGUAGAAUUCCAGGUGUAGCGGUGAAAUGCGUAGAGAUCUGGAGGAAUACCGGUGGCGAAGGCGGCCCCCUGGACAAAGACUGACGCUCAGGUGCGAAAGCGUGGGGAGCAAACAGGAUUAGAUACCCGCGUAGUCCCUGUCUCUUAUAA
rnacentral:rRNA from 1 species